GUCUUUAUUCAUCUCUCAGAAAACAGCACAGAGAAAAAUGAAGAGAACAUAUGGUGUCUUCUAUCAGUCAGUCAUCAUUACUGCUUCUUCACACUAUGUCAUCAACCCACAAAUAGCAAAUGAGUGUGAAUUUCUCCCUGCUGAAAGAGAAAAGAGAAAACUGGUGCGUGCAGCCAAGUAAAAAAAAAAUUAAUAAAUAUUACAAUAACCAGCAACUGGAAGAUUAUAUAAAAUAUUAAAGACAAUGAGAGUGCAGAGAAAAAAAACCCCUAACUAUCAAACAACAGUAUCAAACCUGCAAAUGUUGAGCUGGAGCAGAACUCAUGAAUUUCUCUUGAUUUGAUAACUAAGCGUGAAAUAUUGAUGGGACAUAGCCUCUCUUGCCCAUUCUUUAUGAAUGAUUCUGUGCUAUUUGAGGUGCUCAAACAGAUAGUACUCUGCAAGACAUGUAAUGUAAUAGUUUGUCUCUGGGGCAUCCAUAAAAUCCAGAAUUUCCUUUUUAAGCAGACAUCUAGGAAAAAUAUAAUUUUAUUUAAUUCCCCAAUGUUCCUAUUACAUUGCUAGUGUAAAGCUUGCAAUUCAACUCCUUAUCUGCAAAGCCUCUCUGCCACUCUCAAAGUCUCUCGCAAAGAAAUACAUGACAAAGCAGCCAUGGAAGCAGCUGCCAAAGGAACUUAAUAAACCCCAACACUGGAAACGUCCGUCCCAGCUUUGGAAGGGAUAUUUCAAAACCAGUCUUCUAUAGAAGCAGCAAAAGCAGCUGGUUUAUGAAAAGAAAAUAAUACCGGCAACUGGCAGGGACACCCGGGCAGGAGCCGUCACUGACGCGCCGAGUGCUACAUCCAGAGCGGUGCAGCAAGGCACAAAACCCAGAGCCUGAAGGGGAGGUCUGAUCUAGGCCAGGUGAUGUCCCAGAUCCGUACUCCUUCCUUCCCUUUGGAGUCUUCCCUCCAAGAGCAGAACGUAACAGGCUGCGAGCGUGCCUGGAACUGAGCCCCGCAAUCACACCGGGAGGCAAGCGCCUCUGCAAGCUCCUUUCGCUUCGCUGCGCAGCGGAAAUAGGUGCAUGCAGGAUGGGUAGUAGAGCUACUGCUGAAAUCACCACCUGGGACUACAGAGAACUAGAGUUAAAUUUCUUCUGCGACCAGUCCCAGAAUCCCACCUUUGCUGAUGCUUCUUUAGAGUAGGCGUGCGUGACUAUGAGAACUGAGCUUUCCUUUAAAGAUCAUCUUCUCAAAAUUGCUUACCCUGUAGACGGCCACUGAAGGUGAGCGUGGCGGGUCGGGGAGUGGGAUGGUGUCAGCUAGGGUUCGUGGAAGGAAGGAACAGCAGGAGGAAUAGCACGGGGUUGGGUAGCGCUGCUGGAGAUGCAAGUGAGCAGGAUUGUUACUUGCUCCCUGAGAAUAACAGUGAAUCUUCUGGGAGUUAGCCAAAAAUAAGAAAAUAUAGAAUAACGCACUCUGUCUCUGGAGAAAUGAUUCUGCGUGUGUAGUGUCUGGGAGAGAGGAGAGGCAAGGCUUGUAUGGAGAGGCAACGUCUUUACUAGAGCUAGCACUAUUGCGGGGACAAACUGUUGGGUACACAAACCUUUCGCUGGGAACAAAAUAAAAACCUCUGGAAAAAUUGCAGGAACUUCAAAAAAAGGAGUUGGACAUGUGUUAGAUCAUAUGGUUCAUCCUUAGGUAGCAGCAGAAAAUAGUCCCCUAGAGACAAAGGACAUCAGUUAUUGAAUAAAAUAUAGCCAAAAGGCCUGGAAGAAACAAUGUGUUUUCAGAAGGGAAGCCUGAGAAGCCUUUGAUUUAGUCUAAGUAAAACCAGCUGGAUCUGCCAAACUCAGAAUCCCAAAAAAAUCUCCCUCAAAGCUGCUGCAAGGGAGCUCCGGCUGCGUCGCUAGCCCGGGGCGACCGGAGCGCUGGCCCCCGUCCUCGGCACCGCAGGUACCUCCCGGGCGGGUGCCAAAACGGAGCGCUGAAGCAAGACAUACGGAGAGGUAUGUGGCUGUAGUCCCUAUGACAGCAUAUAAGGGCCAGGGGAUUGGCGUAUUUUACUUCUCCGUUUUGGGUGUCCCCGAAGAACGGCAGCUGAAAUGCGGUGACUUCGCAGGGGCUGGAUCUAAGGAGCUUUGCCCUGUAGGGUUGGGUCUCUCCCUAGGACGUAAUUUGUUACGAGCGAAACCAUGCGCUAUUCUACCUUUGAAUAAAUCGGAUUUAUUCAAAUCCAGGUCAGUUCUGGCAUUUACAGCUUGGGGGUUUCCUGGGAGUUAUUUGACUGUCCUGGAUGUAUUUGCUUUGUCGUUUCCAGCGACUGUAAAACUCAGGAGUGAAUUCGUACGCGCCUCAAUAUUGUCCGUGUUUGGGCAAGAAACGGGAGCCCGACCUAGCAGUACGGCGGUGGCCUGCCUGGCCGGGCGGCCGGGCUGACCCCCGGCGCGUUCCUCUGUGGGGAUGAGCGGAAGGAAUCACACUGGAAAGAUAAAUCAGAAACUAAUAUGCUUAAUGCUAGCCAGCAAAAGUGAGCCUCUGUUCCUGGCAGGAUCGCUCCAUCCCCGAAUAAACGCGUCAGAGCUCGGUCACAGGUGACAUAAACAAGUUCCUUUUUAGGCUGCAAGGAACUGGGGCAGCUCCCUUGACAUUUGGAUUCGUUCCUCUGGAUUUUGUGCAGUUUGCAAGUUGGUGGGAUGACACAGCAGAGCGGAAACACGGUGCAGGCGCGUGGGUCUGCUCCUAAGGAAGAGCCUGUCUGAGGACCUACCAAAGGCAAAUAGGCCAAGAAGAGCAGCAUAUAUUGCUCAUCUGGCAACGCGGGGUGUCGGCGUCAUCUCUGGAAGAAAGGGGAACCCAGCUUUGCAGAACAGGAGCCCGACGAAAGCAUACGUAAUGAAGGAGUCGUGCUGGAGCAGUGGAGGCAGCAGAAGGAGCCAGAGCGAGCGUCUGGGCGAGCCGACCCCGCGUAUCAGAGAUGCCCUAACAGUGGCCAUCGGAUCAGCUAAUAAUUAAACCCAACAGUGGAAGCACCUUAACAGCACUGCCAAGCACUGAGUUAGGUCCAGUACUGCAGCAAGGGAAAGACUGGUGACUUUGGAGGAUGUUUCUUUGGAGCACGGUUCAAAAGAGAGGCUGAAGGCUGACAGCUACUUCUGAUUCCUGCUGGAACAAAUCCCUCCGCUUUUGGUAGCUCUACAGCUGUGAUGAGUUGUCUCAUCCAGCAGCAGGGGGCAUGAAACAGAGACAAAAUAAACAGCCAGAGGGCAGCUUGGGGAGGUGGAUGAGGUAUCAGCAAGUGGAGUGAGCCCUAGUGGUCAAAAGAAGUAACCACAGAAUUGCUUGUUCUCUUCAGUGACUUUGUCAUUUGCUCUCUCACCCUUGCUGAGUUUUAACCAGCUUUUUGAGCUUGUCCUCCUGCGUAGCCUGGAAAUCUCACAUUGCCUCUGUCGGUGAUGGAAGAGGGAGAUGUGGCUGCGUACGCUGGUGGCUCCCAGUGCUCGGCACGGAGGGAUGUUGACAUCCUUGGCUGGUUGCUUCUCCUCCACUGGUGGCUGGGCUGAAAGGGGGACUGCUGUGAAAGAGUGCUCAGCAAAAACAGCUGUGGAGGAAUGGUUGCACUGAUAGGUAAUAAAAAGCCCUUUCAUAUUGAUGUUGAGAAUACGCUGAAUGUUAGCAAGGCAAAAAGAGAGUGGCUGAAUGCUAGCUAGGAGCAGUUUACAGUUUGAGGCCGUCAGCUGGUGUUUAGGAGGUGAGGCAGCAUGGGUUGUGGGUCUGCUGGGGAGAUGCUGAAGCUGCGAUUUGCUGUGGCUGAUGCAGAGCCAGUGAGAGGCAGGUUUUAAAUUCAGGAACUACUGAGAUCCAGCUGAGUUGUCUAAACAAGCUAGCUCUCACAUGUGUCCCAGUGGGCCACCCUGGACAGGGGACAACUGAGGACCUGGCUAAAUCGGUGCUGGCUGCUCAGGCACCCUGCGGCAUCCAGCAUGGUCAGUGUUGUCUUGGGCUCUGCUCGGCCCUGGGCAGCAGCUGCAUGGCCACGAGAUUUAAUUUUUAUGUUGCUGUGGUCUUGCAGUUUAGAGUACUCAAAAUAAUGAUGAUAACCCUGAAAUGCAAGGACCCUGGUCCCAGGCCCCCAGCAAGGUGGUGCUGGUGCCUGGCUGGUCCCAGCAGAGCUGGCCCCGGCGGUGACGUACGGCACAUGCCAAAAUCAGCAGCCAGGUUUCAUCUCUCCUCCUCUACUGCUUUGGCCUAGUGAACUCUGGUUCCUAAACCAGGACAGCAAGGAAGGUUGUCCAAACAGACCUUGCCUCUAAUUUAAAUUGCUGGCUAACACAAUUAAACCCUGACGUGAUACUAGUGCCACCUCCUCCUUAUGCAACGCUCUUCACCAGUAGCUCUCAGCAGUGUUAGUUUGAGCUACGAUUCAGACCCUCACCUAUGGCAUCUCCUCACCCAGAUAAACUGGGUUGCCAUGUCUAUACUAGAAGUAUUUAUUAUCACAUAAACCCUCCCCUUUUGUCUUAAUAUACAACUCUGAUGCAAUAUGGUAAAUUUGCCCAUGGAGUAAAUUAUGGACAAGCUGAGCUAACGGGUACGUAGAGAGGUGGGAAGGACGGGCUGCUGAGGGGUUGUGGCGUAGAACAAAUGUCUGGAGUCUUUUGCUCUGUCUCGACAAAGAGCUGCAUCUCUUCGAAAACAAAAUAGAUGAAUGAAGGUGAGGAUCAUGUGCUCAGCUGCUUUAAUUCCUAUGAGAAUGCUGGGACUGAGGAAAAACAGGAGUUUAGGGAAAAAAAAAAAAUUUCUUUAAUGGCUGAUUCCUAAGAAAUAUAUUCCAAAAAUUAGAUAACUAAUGAAGAAACCAAAGGGAAAAUCCAGCAAUGUUCAAACUUCUUCAUGACAGGCAGGAAAUAGAAGCCUUUUUUUUUUUUUUGCAUGGAAGUGAAGGAGAACUGUUGGAAAAAUCAAUUCAGAGUUUAUGCCAUUGCGCGGUGUGGCUCGUGUCUCAUCUGCUACCUCUUAAGAGGCAAUAUUUAGUUACAGUCUCCUAUUUACUUCAACUUUUUUUUCCCCCUGAGUGUGUGUAAUUUAAAGUCAUUUGAAGAGCUGGAAGUGAGAAAUGAGCUGUCGCAGGUCACUCCCUUAAAAUUUGGGCCUUAAUGACAGGCAGAACGGGGCUCGUUUCAGUUGCACCCCAGGCAGUCUCUGAUUUUGCACAGCUCCUUUGGGCCCAGCUUUUUAUAGUGCUGCCCUGGGAAGGCAAUAGUCGUCAUCCUCCCCUUCCUGAAGGGCGAAAGGGGCAGGUUCAUCCCUGCUUGCCGCCAGGGCAGGGGGGUUGCACCGGCAGUGCAUUUGGUAUGUGAAGAAAGCUAUUGCUUUCUUUACCAAGUGGGUGUGAUAUGGUGAGCAGUGUGAGGCCUUUUGUUUCCGCAGAGGAAACUGUGAAGCAGUUUUCCCCCUUACCCACCCCCACGUCGCAAGCACUUGGUUUGAG